AGACAAACAAAAACUUUGUUUUAUUUCAAAUUAAUCAAAAAACAUGCUUUACUGAUUCAUAUUUAAAUCUAUUCUCAUUUUAUUGCUGUGAGUCAGUUUAUCUUUCUGGUCUUUGGAUAAAGGGAAUUAGUACUUUAAAAAAAAAAAAAAUCUAUAUAGCUGCUCCAAGUCAUUCCAUUACUGCCUCUCUAGUUUUAAUUGCUUUCUGUGCAUGCGAGACCCUGAAUCUGAAUAAAGUAAGUCAUACUCUGAUUUUGGAAAACAUAUUUUGGCUCUGUUGGCUGUUGGCUUCAUACUUCAGCAUAGAGCACAGUCCCUAAGCAUUCCACUGCUGUGUAUUUGCAUGCAGGUUUCCUUUCUGCAGAGCAUUCACAGGAUAAGCACUUUGGCUUUUCUUGUUUAUACUCUGUUUGCUGCAUUUUCUCUUUGUUUACAAUUCUAGCACAUUUAAGCCCUGAUAGGUUAAAUGGAAGGGAAGACUUACAUCAUCUACAGUACUUCUGCCUGACCUACCCAGCAGAUACAUCUUGCUUUUAGAAAAGCCCAGUCAUUUUUCACCAGCACUUUGAGGUACAUUUAAAUCUGCUCUGGCAUCUGUCCAGCCCCGCAUAAUAUCAAGCCGGGGACAUCCUGUCUGAGAGAACAUAUUGUUAGUUCAAUUAUAUUCCUGAAAUCAAGUUAAAUUUCCAUGAAAUCUGCUUCAAAUGUGAAGAACCCUAGGGGAAUGUGUUUUUUCUUUUGUUUGUUUGACUUAUAUUACAGCAAUCAGGCAAACUAAAUGAGAUGCAUUGUAUAAGCGCAUGUUGUGUGUGCUGUUUAUGGCUAUGUGUUUGAUAAGAGUGAAGCAAGUAAAUUGAUAGUGCUGCCAUCUAUAGACAACACAAAGUUAUGGUACUCACAGCAUGAUAAAGAUGGAGGAGCUUGGACUUCCUGUCUAAUUUUCUAAUAAUGUUGCACUUCAGUGAAAAAGAAAAUAGAAAUGCUCCAAGCUUCUUCUCAGUAUGUUUAAUGACAAUUCCACAUUCAUGAAGAUUAAAUUCGCACUGUCUUGGGAUCGUUACUAAUCUUAGUAGAAUGAGAAGUGUGUUUUCCUAGUCAGUAUCAUGUCUGGUACACUGAAAAGAAUGGUAGUCUUACUGUAACACGUAACAUUUCAGUCUACUUUUUGGUAAAAGGACAGAUGGUGCAAUUUUUCUGGCAGAGAUCCAAACAUCCAUAUGGUACCAUAGCAUUCUAUAUUAAUUCUAAUGUUGUUUCAUUGAAAGAUAUCAUUCUGGUCAUAUGCAAAACUUUCAUGCUCAGUUAUGCUUUUUUGCCUUUUUUUCUCUGUUAAUUUUUAUUUAUUUUCAUAAGUUUAAAAGCCAUAUAUCUCCAUCUGCCACUUUUAUCCUUCUGUUUACAGUGAAUGUUUAUUUUCUUCCUUGCAUGUCAAAUUGCAUACAUAUCUUAAGAAGUAAAAUCUGGCAGUAACACAGAGUAACACAUCAUACAAAUAAGACAUACACAAAUUGUCCGAUUGAUUUCCAUCAGGUGAAGUUUUUAUUUUGUCAUGUAAAAGGUUAUAGAUUUUGGACUUACUUAUGUUGUUUUGUUUAAAAAUAUACAGAAUUAGUAAAGGCUUUGGCUAUUUUUUGGAGUACUUUUUGCUGACUGGAUGUUUGUUCUGCUUUUAUAUAAAUGAAUGCCACCUUUUUGCCUCUAUGAGACAAGAAACAUUGCCAUUGUCUGUGGAUUUUAUUUUUUGUCAACAAUUUCCCAGUGAAUUUUUACAUGGGGAUAAUAAAAAGGUCUAAAUAGCACAUAUUUCUAAAUAAUCUGCAAGCAUUAUUAAAGAGAAAAAGCAGUGAUUAGAGAUCAUCUCACAAACUGAUCAGAAUAAAAGAAUUAAUGCAUAUAAGAAGCAGGUAAUCAUUUAAUGAUUUAAUCAGGUUAGCAUGAUAUUUAAUCAGGUAUCAUAAUAAAUAAUGAUGCUUAGGGAAGUUGAGAAAUUGAGAAAGAAGGAAAAAAAAAAAAAAAGUAAACAAUUCCAGUUAACAGUAUUUGAAAGAAAUUAUAUGCAAACUGUCAGGAAGGCAAUAAUUCUAGGUUGGUAAAAGACAUAAAGAGUUGCCAGCUAUGCAUCACCAAAGACCGAGCAAGCUGAAAUACAGUCACAUCGUGGUUUUGACAAUGGUCAUAAAACACAAACUGUAGAACAGUACAAACUUUUCAAUAGCCACACUAAAUCCACAUAAAGCUUGCCUCUUCCUCUCUAAAGUCCUGGUAAGCUGAAGCAUUAACAUUGGUUCAGAUGCAUAUUUUCAAGCUUUACAUCAACUCAUUUGACAGCACAGCAUAUGCUGACAUCAGACUUCCAGUUCUACUCUGUCAUGAGCAUGAAGCUCAAUAGAUAACAUGCUAAUAAAUUAAAGGUAAUGAAGGGUAUGGCAAGCCUUACUAAAAUGACCAGGAAUUCUGCUAACAUUUUUAUUUCAAACAAGAACAGUCUAUGGAAUUGAGCUUCAGUGGGUAUCUGGAGUUUUGGAUUUCUUUCUUUUCCGGACAUGAAUAGGCCAUUGGUACAUCUUUAUUCAUCUUCUUGCACAUGUAAACAACUGGCAUUCAGUUCUUUGUGAGAGACAGGUGAUUUUAAAAAGACAGAAGGGAUAUCCACAUACAAGCAGUUUUUGCACUUAACUAUGGAAAAAAAAUUACUGAGUAAAAUAGUGAAUUUUACAAAAUGAAUUUUUUUUAAAAAGAGUGUAGACAUCUGUCCACAAUUGUUAAGUAAUUUAUGUGUUUGGAUACAGAGGAUUGGAGUUCAGGUGGGAUUUUCAGUCCUUCUCUGAUAGCUACUUAGCAAUGUACUUUUGAAAAUCCCAUACAUAUUUAGGCUUUUAAGUACAUUGUAAAUCAACUUUUCCUGAUUCAGUCAGUCACAGUGACCAAAUUUUCACUGAAUGAGAAGUUCAGGGCCAAGUCUUGAUAAACUGAAAAGAAGAAUGGCUUCUCAGUUGUACUAAAAACUCUUUUACACAUCUUUCACAGCACAGUGAAGCUUUUGUUGUUGUUGUGCUGUUCUUUAGGGUUUUGGGUUGGUUGGUUGGUUGUUUUUUUUAAUGAAUUGGAGGGUAAAUUCAAAAAAAAAAAAGUCUAAUAUUUAAGGCUCUGUAGAUGUUUCGAGGCUUAAGUUAAUGCUUACUUGAGUCUCUCAGAUGCAGUCAAUAGGGAAAUAGCAGAGUUGCGUGUGGAUUUAACCACCCCUCAGAUUACUUGAAUAGCCAUAUCUGAAAAGGAGCACUCAGAAGAAAAAUGUGCAUAUUGCUCACUCCCUUCAGCUCUUUUGUCCAAAAGCCGAUAAAAAUAUUAUUUAAAGGAGAGCUUAGACUAUUAAGUACUCCUAUUAAGUACUCUUGGCUUUCUAAGGCAUCAAAACGAAACCAAAAUAGAAAAAAAUCAAUUGUAUUUGUCUGAAUAUUUGUGUGGGACAUGCUUCUUAUCAUAUAGAGCCAAUGUCCAACUGAAAGAGGCCUCUGAGUGCUGCUGUGGCAGUAAUAACAGUAGUAAGUCUUGAAUCUCCUAAGUAAAUUCACCAUUUCUUUUGUCUAGAGCUCUGAGAUUCUCUCAGCUUCUUCAAUCUGUAUGCAGAUAGAUCCCUUUCUUACCUGAGACUACAUGGCCUAUGAGACUGUGUAUUCUUUGCAUCAUAACUGUACUUAAUUAAGAUCUCCAGUCAGUUUGAUCAUGCAAAUAACCCAAUAACCCAAAAAGAAUUGCCCCAAAACCACAUAGCAGAAAUUUAAAUAUUAUUCUUUCUUGCCUGAACGUGAAUUAGGAAUUUAAUGGGUGAAUAGGAAAUAGAAGCAGUCUUUAUGAAAUGUGUGGAAUCAGGUAUUUUGUCAGGGAGGUUAACUUGUUUACAGCCACUGUUUGUGAUACACAAGCCUGAGAACCAUUAGCCCAACACAGCAUAAAAGCUCACAGCUGAAAAUGUACUCUCUGCAAUUUUUUAUAUUUACAGAAAUUGAGGUACGCAAUUCUCUAGUUCAAAUUUGUAACACUUUUUUUUUUUUGAUUUAUCUGUGUACUCAGUCUCACUGGCUGAAUGGAAGAGCAUCUGUAGAUUUCAAAGUAAAUUUUGGUACAUCUGUAACUGAAACUGUCUCAAGUUCCCAUUGAAUCAGAUAAUUCUUAUCAGUUAUCCUUGAAGAUGAUAAGAAGAUCAAUACUGUCAGCAAGUGAAAAGCAGCACAAAAAUACAGUUUGGUGAAAAGAAGCUUCAUUGUAAUGCAAAAAACAUCUCAGUGCCCUAGCCAUUCUGGGAGUUUGUGUGCAAGACUUUGAGUGAUUUGAAUGCAGGGUUUCUGAUACAAUAAUUUCUGUCACGAAUGAGACCCACAAUGAUUACUUGUCCCUGCAGGGCAAAUGGACCUGCUCAUCAUGCAGGUCUUUGUAGAGAUAAUGUAUACACCUGUUAGGAAGAUUUAAUAGUUGUGGUUGAAAUACCGGGUCUGCAGCUCAAGGGCUGCGAAGGACGGUUGAGCUUUAAAAUCACUUGGAAGCAGCUGAUUUUAAGUUGCCAUGGCAAAGGAUUUUCAGACAAUGAGAAGCUUUUACAUUAAUAUCUUUGUAAGCCUUGUUGUGAUAGAAUUGUCUGUGUGAAGAGCAGUCUCUUUCUUGCUCCUGCCGACACACACACUGAUAAAAUCAUAAGGUAAUUAUAGAGUGCUGUAAUGAUUUUUGGGUUUCUUCUCUGAGAGUUUUGCCACAGGUUUAGAGAAUAUGUCUCUGGUAUUUUUUAUAACAGGGAACAGUAUUAUUCAACAUUUUGUUAUCAAAAAAUUAUAAAGAUACCCUUGUUUGCAAGAAUACCAAUAUAUGAAAACAACAUUGAUUUUCCAUUAUAUUAGUCCAUUAAUUUUUAGCAAUAACUGAAUAAAAGCUGUCUGCUUUUUACUUGAAAUGGAAAACAUUUACUUUGUCUAAUUGUCCUUAAAAAAAAAAAAAAAAAAAAAAAAAAACUUUGUGCCUGUGAUGGCCUGAGUGGCCUGAGUACUCUCCUAGUAUUUUGCAGCAUAUAUUUUACAAUUAGAUUCUGCGAUCCUCCAGUCUUUCUCCUUAGUACCUAAAACAUAGGUCUUAAAAAUGUGUGACCCAUCCAAGAUUAGUCUGAGACAAGAAAAUAAGUGUGUUUUUUUUUUUUUGGUUGUUUGUUUGUUUGUUUCUGUAGGAGGAAACUAGUGGAGUAUUUUGCAGGGAUUUAUUCUGAUUGCCUCUUGGGGGCAGAGGGUGUAGUGUUCACUCUUUUCAAGAUGGUUUGGAGUUGUCCUGGUUGUUGCUGGUUAAAGUUACGUUGGCUCUUAAGGCUGCUGCUGUCCUUUAUCUCGGGGCCAGAACAUUUCAUUGCUUAGCCGGCUGUGGCUGUUUGCUCAUGUGCUCGUUGAAUCUCAAUGCUAAAAGGACUGAAGGCCAAUACUAUUAUUGCUAUUUGUCUUUGCCAGCUCCCCAGAAGCUGAUGCAAACAGCAUUGGUAGCACACUGUAUGCCAGGAGCAGGGAACACUUAAUACCUGUGUCUGUUCUCUGCCACCUCCCAGAGGCUAGCUGCACUCCUGGGGGCUUUAGAGACAAGUUUCCUGAGAUGCCACUUUGCCUUCCUGUUGCAGAGACAGUCAGAAUGCAGAGGGGAAGUUUUCAGGCCAAAAAGGGCUUUGGGGAAAGCAGCACUGAAUCUCUAGCAGCACUGAAUCUCUGACAUUCACGCCUAGUGGCACUUUGUCAUAUUGAAAUUUAAUGGGCUUCAGGACAUAAAGUGAGGUGUAUUUGUUCUGACACACUUUUAAUUAAGGUUUUUAUCAAACACUUUUUAAUUUAAUUUUUACUUGACAUUGACCAUUCCUUGUUUGGGAUUCAGCAGGUCUGGAAAGCUUUCAGAUAGAGCUUUAAUUCGAGGCUUUUCAAUGUAAUUAUUAGUUGUGUAUUACAUGGGGAUGAAGCCAAUUCUUUAAGUUAGCACAGUAUAAAUGCUUAAUACGCUGAGCCGCUAUGCUAAUGCUAAUGCUAAUGCACAGGACGGGAAUCUGCAUUACAAUACAUCAUCCCCACUGUCUGUACUGCAACGCAGACAGACAAUUUACUCAGUUUAGUGACAGCAGCAGUACACAAGCAAUUGGGGCCUGACAAUUCUCUGUGGGUGUUAUUAAUUUAGUGCUAGAUUUUAGUUAUAAGAGGUACCCAAAUGCUAUCACAACAUACAAACAUACUUAAACAUGAACAAAUUGAUUGGAUUACAUAGAUAGAGUGACUGCAUUAAUCUCAAAUCUCUGAUUGACUGUAUUAACCUCAAAUCCAUGUAUUUAAGACUUGUGUUACUAGUUACCCAUAAGCAUGGAGCAAACUGAUGCACAGGUAGACAAAAGAAUACUUUGUUCAACAGCACAAGAUAUCAGUUGUUAACUCUUUGAAAUCAGCCAAAAUAUUUAAACUAAAUUAAAAUGAACAAUCUAGGAAAGCUUUAGAGAGGACUGAAAUCGUUCACAAUAGUAAUAAAAUAAUUGAAGGUCCUGAAAAUAAAAUAUCCCAAAGUUAAAAAACUAUAUCAAGAGAAGAUCAGUGAAAAACAAGAUAUGAAAUAAAGGAUGUUGAAUAGUGGGUGGGGAUAGGCUCAGUUUAUGUAACAAGAUAAGCUAGAAAAUGAAAUACAAAAAUAGAUGGAAAACUAAAAAACAACUGCAUUGCAGUUUCACAUAUUCGCAGUUCUUCCAAACAGCUUAAAGUGCAAUUUAAAGCAGCUAUUCACCUAGAAUAGGAGCACAGCGGGGCUUAAAUUCUCCAAUCUUUCUCCUAUCAUGCAACUGAAAAUAUGCUCACGACAUGACCAAAGUGCUGGUAUCUCCUUCCUAUCUGUUUGCAUGCUGUGGAUAGAAAAUGUCACGGUCAUAAGAUGUAUGUGCUUAUAGUCAAGCAAUACAAUGAGCCUUGUAAGGCUGCAGGAACACCAGAACAAGAAGGAUGGCAGGCAGCUCCUGCAGCCCAUGCCCCGCGGGACACAUGGAGGAGGAAAGGAGGACCUUGCAAACAAGGCUGCUGAGCUGUGGUUCUCCGUCCUGAAUGGUGCAAUCCAGACACUCCCCAGACUGCAGGAAGGCUUUCUACUUUUCUGAUCGAUUUCGUUCUGCAAAGACCUGUCUAAAGACCUUAGCUUGUUUGAGCAGAAAGUGUUGGAGCUGUUACUGAUCUGAGUAUGCAAGACAGCCAUUUAUUUGGGGGAGGGAAUCCUUUCCCUUAGGGUAAGUUUAGAUAACUGUAACCUUUGAAGAGUAGAUAACACCACUGCUUUUUUAAACUGUGCGAACUAGGCUUGUGUUUUCCAGGGAAGUUAGUUGCAAUCUUCUUUCUUUGGUAUAGGGAAGGAACAGCAAUUCCUGCUGAACUGAUUCUCAGAGACAGGAAGCUGUGGAUCAUCCAGUAGUGGUAAAGGCUAAAGUGAUAAAACCAG